rnacentral:rRNA from 1 species
GACGAACGCUGGCGGCGUGCCUAAUACAUGCAAGUAGAACGCUGAAGAGAGGAGCUUGCUCUUCUUGGAUGAGUUGCGAACGGGUGAGUAACGCGUAGGUAACCUGCCUUGUAGCGGGGGAUAACUAUUGGAAACGAUAGCUAAUACUGCAUAACAAUGGAUGACCCAUGUCAUUUAUUUGAAAGGGGCAAAUGCUCCACUACAAGAUGGACCUGCGUUGUAUUAGCUAGUAGGUGAGGUAACGGCUCACCUAGGCGACGAUACAUAGCCGACCUGAGAGGGUGAUCGGCCACACUGGGACUGAGACACGGCCCAGACUCCUACGGGAGGCAGCAGUAGGGAAUCUUCGGCAAUGGGGGCAACCCUGACCGAGCAACGCCGCGUGAGUGAAGAAGGUUUUCGGAUCGUAAAGCUCUGUUGUAAGUCAAGAACGAGUGUGAGAGUGGAAAGUUCACACUGUGACGGUAGCUUACCAGAAAGGGACGGCUAACUACGUG